GUGCUCCCAGGGUCCCAGCCCUCCCCACCCACUGUGUUCCACAGCCUCUAUUGGACCUGCUCACCCUGUGCCUGGCAAAGUUCAGAGCUGAUGAGCCAGGUCUCUGACACCGCUAGCACAGGAAGAGGUCUGGCAGUCCCAUUAGCAUGCCUGAUUUUUUUCCUCCUUUAUUAAAUGACUGUUUCAAGAUUUAAUUACAGUUGAAGGUGACACGUUAGAAAGAAUAAGUGCAUUGAAGGCAUAAGAGGGCUUACAAACCCAGCUCUUGAAAUGGAGGCAGGAAAGGAACAAAGAUUAAAAAGAUGUGAGCAAUGUGACCCACAGUGGGUUGAGUGGGUGGGCAUGGCCCUCUAGCUAGGCUACAAAGCCUCUGGGCAAGUAGCUGUAGAGGAGGUUUGGCUCAGCAGGCAGAACUCUCCAGGGGUCCCAGACGUACAGGGCCCUGCAAGCCAGGGCCAGCUCCACCCCUACAUCCCACAUAUGCCACCCAUGUGUGAUGUCAGCUCCCAAAAGGUAACAGGAAAAGUUCAGGACAAAAAAAAAAACUAAAACAAAAACAAAACAAAACAAAACAAAAAACUCAAAAGUAAAAAGACUAAGUGUAGCAGAGUGAUACAGAAAUAUUAUAUACACAGGCCAUGUCCCCCAAGGUGGCCUCUGGUCACUCCAGGGAUCCUCUGGUGCAAUGCAAAGGGCCUCAGUACACGGAGCUGUUCCGGAUGCCACAGCACAGCACCAUGCUCAGAAUCAUCUCAAAGAUCUGCAGGAGGGAGGGGCAUAGUCAGCACCUAAGGCCCUGGGAAGGAUCCCACCCACCCACCAGAGACCCUGUGCUUACCAUAAUGACAGCUACCACAAUGGCUGCAAUUCCAAUGAGGUACAGCUUCCCAGAGAAGAGCUCAUCGAUUUUCUGAUGACAAUCUUGCUGCAGGGAUGGCAAGAGCGUGGUUAACCAUCAGUGGCUAAGUCACAGCCACCACCCUACUCAGUGACAGGACCUAUGUAUCACAGCUUAUCUUCCACCCCAAAACAAAUUUAAGACACACGGACCUGCUGCCUGCAGCCUUUUGUCACAGGGGAGUGUUUUUUUACCUCACUAGCACCCUAGGGUCACCAGGGUAUGAGGGACCACUCAAGAGAACAGUUUUCUGGGAUGUUGCAGGGGUUAACUCAAGCUGUGAGGACCCGGUACCCCAGUAAUAGAGAUGGUCUAUGGGACUUCUGAGGUCUUGCUCAAAGUGCUGAUCUUCCUGAUUGGCCACACCACCCUACCGACCACCACCACCACCUCAUCCCCACUCCAUGCUACCUGCAGUAAGGGGGUGAGUAUGUUGCCGCCUGAGGGACACAGGCUGUUCCUCAGUAUGGUGGUAGUCAGUGUGGUCAGUGCGUUGGAGCCACAACAGUUGAGCUGCAGGGACCAAGAACAACACUGUCAGCUUUGGAGCUUCAGGAGACAAGGGAAAGAUCAGGCACACAGCACACCGUCACCCCAAAAUACACUUGGGAGUUGUCCUUCUGCCCUGUUUGUCACCCUGCACAGGAGCCCUGUUCCUUCAAACCCCUGGGAAAAUGAGGCCCAUUAGAUUCCUACCUGAGGACCCACAAAUCAUAGAGGAGACCCUUUCCUAGGCCCUGUUGUGUUGGAAAGAAAGGAGACCCAUGCCCUCACACACUAGGAACCCCACAGCCUCCCCUCCUGCUUGAGCCUAGCUAUACCGUCUCAUGGAAAGUCUUCACCACAGCCUUGGCAUUGUUGGCAUCAUCAUCCAUCACAGCUUGCUGAAGGGCCUGGUCAUAGAACUGCUUCACAUCCUUGGCGAUCUGGGGGAGAAUCAUAGUCACAUACAGUGUCGGGGCUACGCCCAAGAGCACUCAACUUCCCGAUGGGCUCAGCCUGAUGCCACCUCUUCCACUGAGCUCCCAAGACCCUGCCCCCACCCAAGCAGCAGGUCCAAGAAAUUCAAAAAGCACCCUAUAACUAUGGGCUCAGAGCAACCCACAUCUGUUGGAGGGCAGAGGGCAUAUCUCCCACUCGGUGAACCUAGGCUUACCUGGUCUUUGUUUACGAAGCCCCAGAUGCCUGCAGCCACCUCACAGGCAAACAGGAUCACAAGGCAGGUGAAGAACUAGGGGAAAGAAGAGGUCAGAGCCUUGACCAGCAAGCCCAGGCCUAGCCCACAUGACCAACAGCUAUGUGCCAAGGGGGUUGGCCAUAUCCACCAACCAUGUCCUGAUUAAGCAUGAGCCACACAGAGCCAUUGAGAGACAAGAGCCUGAUACAGUCCUGCACUGAGAUGUUCAAGUUCUCAUAGCCUCACCUUGCAUCCUACUUUGCAGGAUGUGGCUGGUGUAGAAAUGCAGUUGACAAAGUGUCCACAGCCUUCACUGAGGCACAUGCAGCAAGACACUCCCCAACCCUAACCUCAGUUUCCUCACCUCCUUUAUCCUACAUUCUAUGACGUGUGCUGCCUUUCCCCAGCUUCUGAUACUGGCAGCGCCUCCCUCCCAGGCUGGCCAGAUUCUGGCAAAUCUGGGAUUCAGCUUCACCAGCAGCUAGUGUGGCCAGGAGCACUAAGGUUGGCUUUAGGGGUGAGACACCCUUCUGGAGUUUAUGCUUUUUUAAACAGAAACCCCCUUUUCCAACAUGUAUAUUCAUACUCAGAUUCAAUGGAAAUCAAGCCCCUAGGAAAACCAAAACCUUGGGGAAGACAUAUAAGUUGCUAGGAACCCUGCUCCCCAGCCCUUCAGCCCUUUCUACUUACCGUCCCCAGCAGACACUGGGACUCCUGGAUGGCCCCAUAGCACCCCAGGAAGCCUACAAACAUCAUCACAGCUCCCACAGCAAUGAGAAUGUAGAUGCCUGGGGAAGGGAAGACCUGAGUGAGCAGGCUGCAUGAAUCACACAGGAAGGCCUAACUCACAACCACAGCAGGCAGAGUUUAGCAAUGUGCGCCGUUUAUGCCUCCGUGUGCUGCUGGAGGAGCUGCCACUGCCACCAGGGGACAAAGCAGCAAUUCAGUGACCAGAGAACAUGGGUGGUCUCCAUUUCACAGGUAUGCUCUGCUCUGGAGCCAGUCUCCCACCACCUGCAUCUGAGAACAGGAACCCUCAGCACGCACUGUAAAGGGCUGAGACGGACUAUCCGUUUCAGUUAGGGGAAGUGGCUUGGGUGUCAGGAGCCAAUGCCCAAGACUCCCAAUACUCGGUGAGUGUGAAAUCAAGGGUAAGCUAUGGCAGUAACCAACUCCAGGCACCUCAUCUCAGGAACACUGGUGUAUAACUGUUUGGCUCACCUAACUCUAAGGACGGGAUCCUGUGUGUGGGUGGAUGGCUAAGAGAAUGGUAGGGGAAGCUUAAGCAGAGCACCCAAUGUCUGUCACAGUUUACAGGGGAGCACUGUAGCCCAUGAGGUACCAACUGGGCCAUGUCCCUGCCUCAGUGCCCACAAUACCCCCUUCUGCCCCUGGGAAAGCCCACUGUGUCUUUGAUGAGCGUUCCAUCUCUUGGUCCCUCGGCAGAAGCCGUCCAUCCCCCAGUCUCCACGGCAACACUGUAGGGCAGUCCAAGCUUCCUUGCACAAAGUCAGGCCCAUUGUUCCCUGCCUGGCCAGACCAGAGGAGAAGGCACCAUGGCCUGGACCUGCUGCCAGACUUAAAAAUAGGCCAAAUCCUUUGGCCUCACUAAACACGUCUGGUCCGGGGAAGGCCUCCCACCAGGGCUGCCUAGAAACUGUUUUCCCCCUUGCCUCCCAACUGGCAGAGCACCCCAGUUGUCAGGCCCUAAAACCCCAACCUCACUCUGUCUCAACAGGAGGCUCUGUCUCAACAGGAGGAUACAUACAGGGCACCCAACACACAGGCACUGUCCCAGGACUUUCUAGGCCCUAGGCACCCUCCUAUGUCUAGCACAUGUCUCAUCUGAAGCCCCUGUGGUGUUGUCUGGGAUGUUUAGCAAGCUCUGAAUGAACUCUCCUAAGCACUAAAUAAGACACCUUUUUCAGGGCCACAUCUGCUCCUAGAGGGACUCAGUACAGGGGCAGCAUGGGGCUCCAGAAAGCCAAUUCAGAUUGGCCAGGGACAUGGCAGCCAGAGUAGCUUCUACCCAUAGGUAGAAGAACCUGCUACAGGGUCCAGUCCCUAAGACUAUUUCCCCAGUACCCAGGAGGCCAUAACCAGACAGGCAGGUGGCUGAGCCGCUCUGGAACUGGAGCCUGGUAUAGACUAUUAUGAGAACAUUAGGAUAGAGACUUGCUUCCUAACCACCCUAUCUGGGCUCUGCAGGGUAGCCAGCCUCUCCUGCCAUACCUGUGCAGAGUGGGAGCACAGCCUUCCCCUUGUGGAGGGCCCACCGGCCAGUUCUACCCCUGUCUGUCUCUGAUUCCCAGAUUUCCCUUGUGAAGAUGCCUACCAGUUGCCACAAUCCAGUUUCUAUGAGCUGGAGGGCAUCCUCCUUCUCUGAAGGUACCAGAUAGAAGGAGGGAUAGCUAGUGUGGGCCCUUCCCUACUAACAACCAAACCUGAAAACUGCUACCCCUCAUGGCUUUCCUCAAAGGAGACCAGGUUCUGCCCCUGCCCAUAUUGCCUGGACUCCACUGCUGUCCAUUUUACCCAUGCUAAGGCUGUGGACAGAGUAUAGGGAGGAAGGAAACAGAGCGAGCCAUGGGGUAACCAAAAGCCCUGUCUGCUCUGAGGCAAUUGGGCAGAAAGGGAGAAUAUUUCAGACCUCCUGGUCCCCCACUCAGCCUCAAGCAUGCCUCCCAAGCCUCUUCUAGGCUCCACAGGAGGAGAAGGAAGAUCCACAUCAGAGCCCUGAUGAAGGUAGGAGCUUUGGAAGGGUAAAGACAUCUCCAAAUACUUCUUCAGUUCUCAGGACACCAGGUCCCUCUUCCAGGGAGGAAAGAGGAAAGUUUUCUCCUUCAGCACAGUGUAGUGGACCAGAGCAUAGGACCACACAGCACAACAGCCAUCAUCUUACUUAGGAGGGAGGGUGUUCAGCCCCUACAGGCAGCCAAAUAAGGCAGGUGUAACAGUCUGGGCUGUGUGCUGGUGGGGGUGGGGUGGGGUGGGGUGUCUGAGUCAUUCACUGUCGGCCCAGUCUCCAGCCCUUCCCAACUCAGGACUCCUGGAGCCUCAGCUGUUGCUAGCCCAGGCAUCCUGCCCCACCCUGCCCAGGGAGGUUCACUAGAAAUGCCCAUGUUAAAAUAAGCAAGGUCCUACAAGGCCCCUGCCCCACCCCGUUGCUUCCUUUCUGCCUAGUCUAGUCUCAGAUCUGUGGGGUCACCAGCAGCACCACAGCCAACUCAUUCUCCUCUUAUAGGCAGCCUCCCUACCCAGCUCAUACUAGGCCUAGGCCACUCCCAGCUCUAACGCCUCACCCACCAGAUUUGGACCAUCAGCCUCUUCUUGGAAGCCCUCCCUGACUGUUCUGCACUGUGACUGGAACCCGUCUCCUUGGUACUCACCCACGUAGAAGGUGUUGGGUGCCGGUUUGUUUCCCAGUUCCAGGUACAGCAGGCUGGUGGUCUGUGGAUCAUGACGCAACCACAGAGCUACACCUAGGAUCACGCCUCCAGCCAGCUAGAAAAAAAAAAAAAAAAGAAAGAAAGAAAUGAAAACCAGGAACAGUGUCAUAUAGAGGCCAGAGUACUGGGGCCAAUGGAAGCCUACAAUGCUUAUCAUGUAGAGCCCUCACUUCCAGUUGUGGAGCCAGAUGCCAAGCAGUUGUCUGAGCCACUGCCACUGAGCCCUGGGUCCCACCAGCUCCUCUUGGUUGUAACUCCAGAACAGAAUUCAAGUGUACCUCCAAUAGCGCAAGACACAUACAAGAAGUUUGGUCUGAAAAAUAUGGCUCAGUUGAUAAGAGUACUUGGGCAUGUAGGGAGCCCUGGGUUCAAUCCCCAGUACCACGUAGGGUUUGGUGGCAAUUGUUUGUCAUCCCAGCACUUGAGAGGUAGAGGCAGGAGGAUCAGGAAUUCAAGGUCAUGUGAGUUUGAGACUAGCCUGGGCUAUAUGAAACCUUGUCUCCAAAAUCAGCAGGAAACAUCCCCCCCCCCUACUGUUCCAGAUUGACCAACUAUGCAACAUUUUUACCGUAGAAAUGGCCACAGUGAGGCCCAGCCACUCAGGAUGCUGGUGGGCUCUCCUCAGGUACCCUGUCCCAACAGUCCUGGGAUUGAUUAGAGACUGCUUCAGGCAGGAUACUGGGAACUCUGUGGUGGAGACACCAAGUCCUCAGGGGUGACCAUGUGAUGCCACCAGGCCCCGCAGAGAGAAGCAGGUACCUGGGAGCAGAAGCUGGGCCUCAGAACAGACCAAGGAAGGCAGUCUCCUCCCCAGCGCCAGGUCUCCUCUUCUUGAAGGGUCAGUGGCACUCCCCAGCAGAAACAGCAAAUAGAAACCAAAACCUGGGUCUAAAAAAAAGUAUCUGCUCUUCACUCUGGGGAUCCAGGCCAGAACACAAGCUCAAGAAAGCUCUGGGAGAAAUUUGCAAGCAGGCUGGUUCAGGAAAGAAGACCUAUGGACCCAUCUGCCUUCUUCUACCCUAGGAUCAUGUCCGCUGCUUAACCCUCAGAGAGGAAGCUGGGGAGGGGUACUUUCCUGAUCACCAUCUCCCUCUCCCUCCACCCCUUCUUUCUCAGUUUCUCAGACUCCUCUUUAAGUGCUUAAUUUCGUUUUUCACACUCCAAUCCAGGAGGGAUGAGCCCCCAACCUCCACCAGGGCCUGAGAGAAGAGGGUGUGUGAUACAGCAAUCAAAGUCACACCCGGGCACCCGUUGCCCAAACCACAAAUGGCAUGAAGGCUGAGACUCUGACAGUGCCUUCACAUGUAACGGCCCUAGCGAUGCCAGGGAUCCCCAGAAUUUCCAGCAUGUUACACUGACAGCUCUUUAUCCAUCUGCCCUUAAGAACCUCGCUCGAAUCAGCUUGGGCAACAGAAGCAGGAGGGUGGGAGGUGACGGGUCUGAGUUGCCCUGGUAACCAGGCUUCCUUUGCAGCUUUUAAACAUCCUAUAUUUUGUUUAAGAUCUGGUCUGGAGGCUGCUCUGAGAUGUCCCAGGGCAGGAGAACCAGGUGGCACACCUGUUCCCCAUCCUUCCCUCAUUGAUAACAUGACCCUGGUGACAAUCCCUGAUAGUCACAGAGGCUAAGGGGCAGCUGGUGGGUCACCUUGCUUUCCUCAGUCUGUGUGCUUACCUGUAAAACAGCUGAGCAUGCAACCAUGCCUGACUCUGGCUUCUCUAAUGGUACGGGAAUACUGUCUGUGAGCUGAGGGGCAAAGGGGAGUGAGGCAUGCUGUUCAGCCGAGCCCCAAAGGCUGCUAAUGUGGGUGUCUGGCCAAGCCACCACUUAGAGCCGGGUUUUAUGAAAGAGGUGGGAUGAGGACGUUAACUCUAGAAAAGUCUCUGGGCUUUAUUCAUUAACUGACAGUCCUGAAUGGGGGGUGCACGGGGGGGGGGGGCUAAGGAUCUGUGACUGUCAAUCAGAAGAGAGGCCAAACUGGGGUGGGGGUAGGCAAGGCAUCUGGAAAUGGGGACUUGGCCACUCACCCCAUUGUCCCAGGGGCAAUCAGAGCUGAGUGGGAAGGAAUGCCAGGUACUGAGAUGGCUUCCUCCAGCAAAGUGACCGUCUACCCUGCUACUCUAGGGAGAGGUAGAGGGAGUUCUGGAGUUCUAGUUCCAGUCAGUGAAUGCACAGGCCCUGGGUCCAUCGAAUGGUAGAAUCUCCAGGGAAAAGACAGACCCGUGAGAGAGCACGGAGGACAGUUCAAUCAUGGGGAGCAAAAGGAGGACACAGAAGCUGAAGCAGCUAGCGCCUUCUGACCCUGCUCAGAUGAAAGCAGAAUUCAAAGGUCGUUCAAGAUAGUACAGUGAUAACCCAAUGGAAGUUCUGGGGUUAGACCACAAAGAGCCCAGGGUACUCUCCUGAUGGUGCUAAGUUUCAUGGGGGUGUAAAUGCCAAGCACAGCUACAGAAAGCUACUUACCCCCCUCCACUCCACGGUCCCUGGAUCAGUGGCUCUGCUCAAGUAUAUUCCCCAGGCCCAAGAAGGGUAUAGGGGUGUCCCAGUAUUAGCAGCAAUUAGGAAUACACCUUGUUUACAGAACCAUAGGUCAGAAUGAUCUGCAAAAUCUGGGCAACACUCAUUUAAAAAAUAAACGAAAAAAAAGAAAUAGAAAGAAAGAAAGAAAGAAAGAAAGAAAGAAAGAAAGAAAGAAAGAAAGAAGGAGGGAGGGAGAGUGUGUGAGUCCAAUGUCCAUGGGAAUAUGGAGUAGUGCCAUUAGAUGGAGGUCCAGGAAAGGGUAAAGAUGGCCUGAAUCUCUAUCUGUGUCAUAUCGGAGCUAGGGUGUCACAAAUCCAUCUCUAUCUCCUCCACCCUUAUGGUCAUUUGUAAACAGGGGAAGUAAUACACAAAGGCUGCUAAGUGUGAUGUCACUGUAUUUAGCUCUUGACAGAGCUGAGGAAGUGAUCCACAAAGCAGAACCUGGCAUUUCUUCCCGAAUCCACUCAGGGGCUCUAAGAUACCUCUGCCCAAAGCUUCCUUUCUCCAGGUGGCCCUGCCACCUGCUCCUGCAGCCUAAAAGACCUUCUGUUUAGAGGUGGGGGUGGGACGCACCCAGGUGGCAUGUCCAGGUUCCUGGAGCUCCUUCCCUGGCACAAAAGGAUGCAUUCAUGACUCUAUACAGGAUUGUGUUGCUUCCUCCUUCUUAAGGGCUAAUCCAUAACAGACUCAAACUUUAACAAGUCGAGGAGCUGCCAAGCAUGCUGGGUCCCUGCCCAGCUGCUCUUGUGGUUUCCCAGAAGCGACUGAAAGGGUACAGGCUUGGGACAGCAUUCUACCCUGUGCUAGCUGCCCACUGCCCAGCCUUGGCCAGACUCAGAUAGGGGCUUCUCUGAAGCAUUCCUAUUGCUACCCAUAUGAAGUUCUCUAGGAAGGGACAGGGCUCCUGAAACCAGCUUGGUAGGUAUGAAUGGUCACCACAAAGCACCCCAAAAUGCUCCUGGAGGCUGGCUGUAACAGCAGCUUGUUCCUUUGAGUUACCAUUUGGGCCGCAAGAGAAGAACCAAAGGCAGAGGCAGACAGGGUUGGGGCUUACUCAAAGCCUCCUGAGUACAUGAUGCAAGCUAGAAGGUGCACCACAAAGUGCUCACCCACCUAAGCAAUUCGGAGGUGCUGAGGGGCCCAAGAACCUCUCCUGUGAUGGCAGAGGUUGUGAAGACCCUGGGCAGCUGGGAUAAGUCAGAGUAAAGAGGCUCAGACUGGUUUUAGGGGCAUUGGUUAGGUAGAGGCUGACUUAGGUGCUGUCCUUCUAGCUGGGGUCCUGGGCCUGGUCUGGGGUAUAGAGGAUGGGGACAAGGCCAGAUUCCUCUCUGAGAGACAAUGGAUCUUGCUCAGGCCUUCCUAGGAGAGGUAAAGACUUACAGUCUACCAAAGGAAGCUCAGGAAGGAAGCUGGAGAGAGGGGCAGGAAUCCUCGCCUUGGGCAGGAAGCAUGGUUCCUUUCACAAGGCCCCUCGUCUCAGGAAGCCACUGUCAUAGCAUCUAAAAAUAGGCAGCAAAGCAAAUGCCUAGCUCUGGGGCCCAACUGACAGGCUAGGGGCAGUGGUGUGAAUGGCCCAGGCAUGGCCAUGGGAGAAUAUACUGCUGUCUUGAGGUUCAAGAGAUUGGGCUGGGCCACCCAGCUGGGCCCCUUCCAGGGCCAGACUACAUGGCUCCUUCUCAGGCAAGGAAACUAGAAGGCAAGGACCUUCCCCAUCUAUCCCGCACUUGCCCUCCUCUAGGAAGGCCAAUGUCUCGUGAGACCCCAUAGGGAGACUGUGUGGACCCAGCCCGCCACAGCAGUCUGCCAGAGAUAAGUGCUGCAGGGAGUCCUGGUACCCAGAAAAAGGAACAAAGGGAGGCAGGGGACUGAGAGUGGGUAGAAGAGCUCUAUGUAGUUCUGGCAUCACCACCAGCAGCACCAAAGGACUUCUAUCUGUUCCAGGCUGGGCAUAGCCCUCUGUCCCAAGGUCAGGCUGUGGGGCUGGCAGGGUCUUACAGGCCACUUUGACUAUGGAACAUGGUGGCAGAGUGGAGUGUAGUUCUACCCGAUCCUACUACUUCCGAACGUGGUAGCUAGUUGCUUGGAAACCUCAGUCCCCUUAUCACCCGCAACGGGUCUGAUAACAGCCCAACGGAGUGUUACUUUCGGUGAGCUGAAUGAGCUGUUAUCACGGACUCCAGAGUACAGGAGAAGACUGUUUCCAGGGUCAAAGGCCAUGUCAUGCCCCAACCAUGAGGAUUUUUAGCCAUGAAAAGUAAUGAGAGUCCAGGCAAUGGUGGCACAGGCCUUUAAUCUCAGCCCUUGGGAGGCAGAGGGAGGCGGAUCUCUGAGUUUGAGCCCAGCCUGGUUUACAGAGUGAGUUCAAGGAUGGCUAGAAAAGCUCUGCCUUGAAAACAGACAAACAAACAAAAAAAGUUGUGAGAAGGUGAGUUAACACUAGUGGGUUGGUGGCAGUGACAAUAUGUGCCUGUCACUCCACAGUAUGUGCCUGCCACACUCCACAGUAUGUGUUUGUCACACUCCACAAGCCCUUGCAACACAAGGUCCUACUCUAGAGCUCAGGGAUGGGCUUCAGGAGGACAGGUGGCCUGGGCUUCCUCAUUACUGCUCCCCGUCACACGGGACAUCUUUAAACACCAUUGGAACCCCUCACUGUUUAGCUGCAGUACAGAGCCAACAUUGAUGCUUGACCAUGGGUAAAAGCACAGCUAAAUGAGUCAUAGGAUGCCACAGACCCACCCUGAGAAAGUUCUGAAGACCCAAGCUGACAUCAUGUAUGGAGUGAUCCGAGAGAUAGUGCAAGGAAACACAGGACACUCGGGGGCCCUGUUACUCAGCAGCUUCUGCCCAAGCUGCCUGGCAACCAGGCUCUUGGCUUCGGUUACCAACUCAGUGCUAUGGGGCUAUAAAACUAUGGGUGCCCUGGUUCUAAUGCACUCCCCCCCACACACACUCCAGACUUCAUAUGAAGGAAGGCAGGUGCCCUCUCCCAACAUCCCCUUGCAGUUACUUUGGUAGCCAUUCCAGGAUGCCCACCACCAGCUAGCUGCUCACUGGCCAACCCCUUGUGAACAGUUCCCUCAAAGGUUGAGCCCACUCAGAAGACCCCAAAUAGUUUUGAAUGGCAUAGCCUAUGCCCUGCAGCUAGCCAGGGAGAGUAGCUUAGACUGGAUCUAGAAGUGAUCUCUCUCUCUCUCUCUCUCUCUCUCUCUCUGUGUGUGUGUGUGUGUGUGUGUGUGUGUGUGUGUGUGUGUGUUUGUGUUUGUGAGGGAGGUACUAGGGGUCACAGUCAAGUCACUGGCAUGCCAGGUCAGAGUACUGAACAGUUGAAGGCUACUGAAGGCCAGUUCUCAGGACACCUGGUUCUCUAGCAACAGUCCUAGGAACAAAAUGGCCCUACCUAUAGGGUCUCAGAGUCACCCAACACUCACACUCAGAGUCACCCAACACUCACACCGUGUCCUACCUGGUUCCCUGGCAUCAGGGCCAGAGCCACAGGUACCUUGACUUCUCCAUAACUCUGCCCCACCCUACGCCCUCUCUUGUGUACAAGGAUGAUUGCUCUCUCCCUAGGGCAGCUGGACUCUAAGGCUAGAGGUUUAAUAACUGAGGUUCCAAUCCCCUUGGCAGGACUCUGGGUUCUGGAAUCAAGGUUGGCAGUUGUUGGUUCCCUCCUAGAGCAUCACAGAAGCUCCGUUUGAGGUAGGACUGAGCUAGAAGGCAAGUGCCGAGAGAAUGCCUAAAGGGUUCGGAAAGAAUGGGGGUGGGGGCUCUUAUUAUGAGGUCGCAGUGUGUGGGCACCAGAGUAGAGGCUGCCAGGUCUACUCCAGCUCUGUGCCCCCACUGUUCGGAUGUCCUUUUUUUGAAGCCAGCCCAGGGAUGAACCACAGACUUCCCCUUUGCAGGCCAAUGAUUGUCUUUCCCAAAGCCGGGCGGAGCAGACAGCCCCAGGAGCAAGGGGCAAGUCACAGGAAGUGCUCAUUCCACCCUGAGCCCACAGAAUUAGAGCCCCUCUGCCGGAAGGCAGCCAGCAGACCACUAUGUGACAGACAGUCACGUAUGUGUGUUGCUGAAGCGAGCACAACAGACAGUCAUGUUCAGUCUGGAGAAUUAAAUGCCAGUUGAGAGGCUGUAAUCAGCCUUUUGUGGUGGGUCUGGCUGCCUGGGCUACUGGACGGGGGCCACCAGCAGCCUUAGGCUGGAGGAACAGCCUGUUCUGUCGGGGAACACAGUGAAGAUUCUUCUCCUUAACUGACUACUCCUAUGGAGACAUUGUCACACAAAGCUCCUACAGACCCACCCGAGGCCAUAGGCUGGCACAGUGAUAAACCAUCCCCUGCUCUCCUGCCCUAUUGCCAGCCGGUGACUAUUGCCAGAGGAGACUGGACCCUUAAUCCCAGACCUGUCUCAGGGGAUGAGUAACCACCCUGCUUCUAAGAGCAUCUUACAUGGUCUCUGCUGCUCACCGCUCAUCUUUCAGGUUUGUGUCCUGCCCCAUAUAUCUUGGGAGUCCAGAACUCUGCUGGCCCCAAUAUAGGUUCUGAACUCAAGCCCAAGGAGGACUGGUGGGAGUGACAGCAGGCAGGUUAGUGUGCCCGGAAUGUCCCCUCCCACAGAGAAACCACUUUAAUCUUCAAACUGGAAAUUUUAAAAAGUGUCCAUCGAAACAUUUACUGUCAACCAAAUCUCCCUUCUUAGAGCUCUUAGCCCCCGCCCCCACCACGGCCCAAAGGACCUCUCAGCCCCCUCCUUAGGCCCUUCUGACAUCAUUGCUCAGCUUCCUUUGGCCCCACUCCCUUUUGGAGACUGUGUCCAGUGUCCAUUUCCUGAGCCUUCUCUGCUCCAAGCCCCUUGCCCCACUCUGGAGUACAUUAGCUAGUCUACACACAAUCCUAGGAGACAGAGACCCCCAAGAACUCCCACUUUAGAGGGAGGAAGUGAAGACUAAGGGCCAGAGUGGUGGGGUGGGGCUCCCCAAAGGUUCAAUUUCAUGAUAUCAGGGAACUAUCAGCCACAGUACAAACCUUGCCACACGAGGGACAAAAGGAGUCCCUCUGCCAGGGUGGUGUCCACCAGUUGUAGCCUGGUUCUGCUCCACAUCCCUAUCCACUGUGGGGCCAACAUGAGUAGGGAGGAGAGGUCUGUGGGAUUGUGAAAGGCUACAGUUUUCACUGUUCUGCAGUCAGUAGGCAGGUCCCUGGGAGCAGGGAGAGGCUUCAGAACCGUUUCCUGGAGCCUCAAUAGAGACCCCAGGGACAUGUUGGGACUCCACCCCAGCUGCCUGGGAAACGAGCAGCUUCACCCAGCCUCAGCACUCCAGGGAGUCUGAGGGUCUAGCGCUUGGAUCAGGUGGGUGAGCAAAAAAAGAAAAAAAAGAAAGAAAGAAAUACCCUACAGGAUCCUGACAUCCCACAUCUGAAGAAUAAUGGGGGUGGGGUGGGGUGGAUAACACACUUCUUGAGGGUGCAUUCAAUUCCUUGCAUGGUUCAGAGUAGGCAAGCACUGUCCAACAUGACUACCCAGUCGAGACCCCAAGGCAUGCCCGGGCAGAGCAAGUUUAACCCCAUCGCCCAUGCUGCUCCCUAGAAUGUGUUCUCUGGAGUCACCGUGACUGACAAUCUUGGUCCCUGCAGCACCGCGUGAGCAUACAUAGCCCCAGCUGAGUUCAGCCCAGUUCCUGCCCAUCCCCAACGUCUUAUUCCCCUCCACCCCACCCUGACCCGCCCUGGGAUCUUCAGCAGUCCUCGAUGGAAAACAGGUGUCCCCUGUCCAACACACUCACUCCAGGGGCCGUUGUACAAGUUUGCCCUCUCAGGAACAACUUUAGAGAAACAUUGUCUUGGCAUAACCUCAUUUCUUCCUGGGAAGGAGGGUGGUGGGAACAGCAGUCUGUGCACUGCAGCAGGGAGGGUGGCACCACUGUCCAGAGGAGUGGCCAGCACUGCUCACUCAAGUGCCCGCAGGCAGGUCUGUUAAGACUCCCCAUUCCCAACCCAGUUAGGAAAUGGAAAGAAGCCCAUACCACCAAUGGCUACUCCCCAGCAGUGAAGACAGUCAGGACCCAGGGACACUUGGAGACCCUCUUAUACCCAUGUCUCCUUUCCAAGAUGACCAAAUGGGUGUGCACUUCUUUCCAAAGUGGAGAGCCCAGCUUAGAUCCUGUAUAUAGGAAAAGAUCCUAAGCUCCUGGUUUGUACAGAUCCCAGAUCUUUGCAACACCCUGGCCUUCACCAACUCAGAACUGCAUACCCUCUUCCUCUCAGGAUCUAAGGGUCAGGCCGGGGCUGUAAUCUGUGCAGGAGACGACAGGCAAGGAGGAGGGGCAGCUGGGGGAAUGGGGGUGGGGGUGGCCAAGAACUGGGGCACCGUGCGCAGCAGCACGCGGCCCGGGCUGCCCUGCCUUCUAGGCCUGGAGCUCGAGCCCCCAGGGUGGCAAUACCAAGCUGGAGGGUAAGCAAGGGUGGAGUAAUAGUGGGGUUGAGGUCUCCGAGGCAAGUACGGAGCGUGCCCCCACCACUUCGAGGCCGCCUAUCCAGGGGCGGUGGCUAGGAUGAGCUCAUGGGGGCGGGGCGCCAAGAUCCCGCCCUUCUCGACCCCCCUCACUGCUCGCGAUGCAGGAUGGUCCCCAAAACAACAUUCAGGAGGGUGCGAGUACCCCCUUCAUAGCUGAGGGCUCUUGAUUACCUGGCUCUAGCCCGCAGACUCUUGCACCAGUUCCCAGCACUCAGAGGGGACAGGCCAGCGAUCCCCUGAUUUCCCGGCCCCAGAAGCCCCUCGAGCCGAGGCCCAGAAGCUCAGCCCUCGGCCUCAACCCGCUGGCGAGGGGCGCCAGGACCCCGAUCGGCGCACGGAGCCCACAGGUGGCGCCGCAACUUCGCGGUUGCGCUGCGCCUUCUCAGCAGGGCCUAGCGCGCUGCCCAGCCUGGCUACCGUGGGGUGCGCCCUGUCCCCAGUGGCUGCUCACCCAGAAGACGAAAUUGAAGACGAAGAGCAGGAUUUCAACAUAGACCAAAGACCAGCAUCUCUUCAGGAAUCCUCUAGGACUCCAGCACUAGAUGGUACUGCUGAGACACCCAGUCUUGGGGACUGAACAACUGCCAGAUUCUUGGCCUUCCCACUGGAAUACUGCUAUUGUUGGAAUACCAGGCUACAGCCGUCAAAGAUCUGAUCUGUCCGUGGUUAAAGAUGUGAGCUCGCCAUGUCUUCCACUUGUUGCUAUGCCUUCCUGCGAUGAUGGACUCGCAUCCCUCUGGAACGAUGUUUCCAGAGCGGUCUAACCUGGGCAGGAGUGAGCACUUUCCAGCAAGUGGCUGAGUACUAAAAGGUGGCCCAGUCUAAAGAAAAAGCAGUGUUGGCUGCCUGCCUGCCUUCCCUGGGUCUGGAGCCAGUGUGUCCAUCUGCUGCCACUGUCUUCUUUUGACGUCAGACUGAAGUUUCUUCAGCCUUCUCUAACAAGAACGAAACACCAGUGACUCUUCAGGAAUUUUCCAGGCCUUCAGCACCAGACUGAGACUGCUGAAGCGAUCAGCUUUUUGGACUAAACAGCCUGUUUAGUGUUGUGUAAGUCAAUCUAAUAAAUCCUCCUUUAUAACACACAUUUCCUCUAUUAGUUCUGUCUCCAAAGAACCCUAUUUCAUCCAUAUUGAGGUACCAGUAGUAGGUUCUAGAGAGGCAGAACUCUAAGGAUGAAUUUCUCUAGUGGGCUUGAUGGUGUUUGACUUAGCUCUCCAAUUCAUCUACACUUGGAAUUGCAAAGACUCUACACUUCUCUGGUAGUGUAGAGAGAGCAUUACCAAUCCGUCUUAGGCGUCCAAGAACUGUACAGUGAGUUCACACAUACACACGCAUACAUGUGCACACAUGUAUAAAUAAAC
rnacentral:lncRNA from 1 species